GCUUGGCUGGCUUAGUCAGUAGAGCAUGUGACUCUUAAUCUCAGGGUUGUGAGUUCCAACCCCAUGUUGGGCA
rnacentral:tRNA from 1 species